rnacentral:lncRNA from 1 species
AAGGUCCAGCAAGGGCUAGAACAGCACUGCCCAGAGUAGGUGUGCAAAUAUUUGCUGAAGGAGAGACUGCAGAACGUGACAGGGUUGAAGCUGUGCCUUCACAAGGUCCCUCUGGCUGCCUGGUGGAGGAGGAUCGCCAGAAGCCGGAGUGUGGACUCAGGAAGCCUACUAUCUGCUAGACGCCACAGAUUUUUGUGGGAUGGGAUUUGC